CUUUAAAUUUAAAGAAUUUGGCGGUAUUUUAGUCUAGUUAGAGGAACCUGUUUUAUAAAUUGAUACAACACGUAAUAUCUUACUAAUUUUAUUAAAAGUUUGUAUACCGUCAUUAUUAGAUAAUUUUUAUAGAAUAAAUUAUUGAAACUAAAAGAUUAAAUAUAUUAGAUCAAGGUGCAGCCUAUAAGUUAGGGAGAAUGGGUUACAAUAAAAUUUAUUUAAACGGAUUGACGGAUGAAAAUAGUCAUGAAGGUGGAUUUAAUUGUAAUAGAAGUUUAAUAAGUUUUUAUGGUAUAAGCACUAAGUUAUGUACAUAUUCGCCCG
rnacentral:rRNA from 1 species